rnacentral:rRNA from 1 species
GUAACGGCGAGUGAAGCGGCAACAGCUCAAAUUUGAAAUCUGGCUCUCGGGCCCGAGUUGUAAUUUGUAGAGGAUGCUUUUGGUGAGGUGCCUUCCGAGUUCCCUGGAACGGGACGCCAUAGAGGGUGAGAGCCCCGUCUGGUUGGACGCCGAACCUCUGUAAAGCUCCUUCGACGAGUCGAGUAGUUUGGGAAUGCUGCUCUAAAUGGGAGGUAUAUGUCUUCUAAAGCUAAAUACCGGCCAGAGACCGAUAGCGCACAAGUAGAGUGAUCGAAAGAUGAAAAGAACUUUGAAAAGAGAGUUAAACAGUACGUGAAAUUGUUGAAAGGGAAGCGCUUGUGACCAGACUUGGGCUUGGUUGAUCAUCCGGGGUUCUCCCCGGUGCACUCUUCCGGCUCAGGCCAGCAUCAGUUCGCCCUGGGGGAUAAAGGCAUCGGGAACGUGGCUCUCUCCGGGGAGUGUUAUAGCCCGUUGCGUAAUACCCUGUGGCGGACUGAGGUUCGCGCAUUCGCAAGGAUGCUGGCGUAAUGGUCAUCAGUGACCCGUCUUGAAACACGGACCAAGGAGUCGUCUUCGUAUGCGAGUGUUCGGGUGUCAAACCCCUACGCGAAAUGAAAGUGAACGCAGGUGAGAGCUUCGGCGCAUCAUCGACCGAUCCUGAUGUUAUCGGAUGGAUUUGAGUAAGAGCAUACGGGGCCGGACCCGAAAGAAGGUGAACUAUGCCUGUGUAGGGUGAAGCCAGAGGAAACUCUGGUGGAGGCUCGCAGCGGUUCUGACGUGCAAAUCGAUCGUCAAACAUGGGCAUGGGGGCGAAAGACUAAUCGAACCUUCUAGUAGCUGGUUUCCGCCGAAGUUUCCCUCAGGAUAGCAGUGUUGAACUCAGUUUUAUGAGGUAAAGCGAAUGAUUAGGGACUCGGGGGCGCUAUUUAGCCUUCAUCCAUUCUCAAACUUUAAAUAUGUAAGAAGCCCUUGUUGCUUAAUUGAACGUGGGCAUUCGAAUGAAUCAACACUAGUGGGCCAUUUUUGGUAAGCAGAACUGGCGAUGCGGGAUGAACCGAACGCGAGGUUAAGGUGCCAGAGUAGACGCUCAUCAGACACCACAAAAGGUGUUAGUACAUCUUGACAGCAGGACGGUGGCCAUGGAAGUCGGAAUCCGCUAAGGACUGU